rnacentral:lncRNA from 1 species
GCCGCUGCCGCCGCAACUUAUAGGGCACGCCGCGAUCCUGAACCUUCUCGGCCACGUCCCUCGGUGCAUCUGCGCUGUGCCGGUCCCAGCGUGACGAUGUCGAUCCUCGCCGACGAUGACCCCUCCGACGACGCCGCGCCGAGCCGCCCCACCACUUUCCUCAACGAGGCUGAGCACCCACCCUGCUGCUAGCGUGCUACACUGCUGUUGCUUGCGCGAUCCGAUCUGAUUUGUUCAGAUCCGUUUAUCCGUGUAGGGAUAACGACCACAGUGUACAUCUCAUUUCCAGGUAAACAAUUUCCUAUGCAAUGCUUUAUUUUUAUUUUUUUUCUUUCGGAUUAACAACAGGAAAACUAUCCCUAGGUGUCCAAUUAUAUGCGUAGUGGUUGCAAAUUAAAAUAACCACAAUGCUUAAAAAUAUCUAGCUAAUUACAACCUAUAUGUCUCCGGCACACUAGCUUCCUAAUAAAUACUGAUUAUGGCACAUGACUAUUUUACUUAUUGGGAAGAAAAAUUCUAACCUGAAGUGUACAGCUAGAUGUGAAUUUUGCGAAGAAAAUUGUGCUUACUAGAAUGUAGUCUUUUCAUGUUGCUUAUACUGGAAAUGGUCAUCGAUCCAUUGUUUUUUAGUUGAAACGUGGCUUAUUUUUUUCUUGAUUGGGCAAUAUAUUGUUCUCUGUUAGUUGACUGUACCUUUUGUGUUCAAUACUUGUUAUCAGACCAGCCUUUUAUGGGAUUCACAUUAUUUUAAUAAUGCAUUGUUGGUUUUUGAAGUUAAGAAGAAACAUUUUUUAUGGAUAUAGUUUCAAUUGCAUGGAUAUGAUCAUAUAUGAAAACAAGACGAGACUCAAGGGUAGUGGCGUGGUGUUGCUCUCUGCAUGUUGCCACGCUGCUGUUGCUCCUCUCUUCUUGCCGACACAACCAAGGUGAGUUGGAAUGUAUUUCCAAGUUUUCAUAAAACGAGUUUCAGGUAGCAAAAGAAAGAACUGAAAUACAGUUACCAAUUACCAUGUAUUAUUUCAAUAUCAAUGCAUUAGCUAUCCUAUUGAGAGAACUAGGCUUCACUUGUUUUCACGAAAUGAGUUUCAGGUAGCAAAAGAAGAAACUGCUCUAUUGCAGUCCCAUGUAUCUGAUUGCUGGUAGCCCCAAUUGAGAAGUAGGCUUCACUUGUUUUUUUCAUGAGAAAUAGAGGUCUUCAGUAGUAACACUAGUCCGGUGUAUCACAUUAUCACCGAUAUAUUAUACUAAAUUUGGCACUUAAGAAAUAAUUGCUUUAACAAAAUGUUUGCUCUAAUGAAAUGUGUAAGCAAACCAUUGAGAUGUAGUGUUGCUUGUAUUUAUGUGGGACUGUGUAACACCCUAAAAUUUGCUCCUUUCAAAAUAGACGAAAAUUGAUUUAGUUUUGUAUUUGAGUGCUCAUGAAAAUAUAGGAAAAAUAAAUUUGCUCCUUGUUCGGCAUAUCUUUAUCUUUUUCACAAUCGAAUUCCUUGUUUUCAGUCUAUGCUUUAAUUUUGAGUUUCUCAAAAUCUUUUCUUUGUAACCCUAAUCACUUCGUUCAGUUCCUCAUCCGCCAAUCAAUCUCUAAAACUUACCGAGAAUUAUUUCAGCAUUUUUCUGGAACUUGUUUCUACUUUUCUGUGAGCAUAAUCUAAUUUUUAGAUACUACAGAUUAUCUUAUCAUGAGUUCAAAGUACUUUAUUUGAGUUCCUCAUGUUUUAUAAGCUCUGUAAGAAUUUUUCCCGAAUUUUCAGAGCUUUCGGAGUAUUUCUCGUGGC